rnacentral:rRNA from 1 species
AUGCAAGUCGAACGAAGUAGCAAUACUUAGUGGCAAACGGGUGAGUAAUAUGUGGGAAUCUACCCUUCGGUCUGGAAUAACAUGAGGAAACUUAUGCUAAUACCGGAUAAGCCUUUACAGGGAAAGCUUUAUGCUCCGAUUGAUGAGUCCACACUUGAUUAGUUAGUUGGUGGGGUAAUAGCUCACCAAGACAAUGAUCAAUAGCUGAUUUGAGAGGAUGAUCAGCCACAUUGGGACUGAGACACGGCCCAAACUCCUACGGGAGGCAGCAGUGGGGAAUCUUGCACAAUGGGGGAAACCCUGAUGCAGCGAUGCCGCGUGAGUGAAGAAGGCCCUUGGGUUGUAAAGCUCUUUCGUCGGGGAAGAAAAUGACUGUACCCGAAUAAGAAGGUCCGGCUAACUUCGUGCCAGCAGCCGCGGUAAUACGAAGGGACCUAGCGUAGUUCGGAAUUACUGGGCUUAAAGAGCACGUAGGUGGUUAAAAAAGUUGGUGGUGAAAUCCCAGAGCUUAACUCUGGAACUGCCAUCAAAACUUUUUAGCUAGAGUAUGAUAGAGGAAAGCAGAAUUUUUAGUGUAGAGGUGAAAUUCGUAGAUAUUAAAAAGAAUACCAAUUGCGAAGGCAGCUUUCUGGAUCAUUACUGACACUGAGGUGCGAAAGCAUGGGUAGCGAAGAGGAUUAGAUACCCUCGUAGUCCAUGCCGUAAACGAUGUGUGCUAGACGUUGGAAAUUUAUUUUCAGUGUCGCAGCAAAAGCAUUAAGCACACCGCCUGGGGAGUACGACCGCAAGGUUAAAACUCAAAUGAAUUGACGGGGACCCGCACAAGCAGUGAGCAUGUGUUUAAUUCGAAGAUACGCGCAGAACCUUACCAACACUUGACAUGUUCGUCGCGACUUUAAGAGAUUAAAGUCUUCGGUUCGGCCGGACGAAACACAGGUGCUGCAUGGCUGUCGUCAGCUCGUGUCGUGAGAUGUGGGUAAGUCCGCAACGAGCGCAACCUUACUUUUAGUUGCAUCAUUUAGUUGGCACUCUGAAGAACUGCAGUGAUAAGCUGGAAGAAGGUGGAUGACGUCAGGUCUCAUGCCCUUACGGGUGCUACCACGGUGCUACAUGCAUAAAUAGAGCAGAUGGGCAACUCAGCCAUUCUGAGAGGAUGCCUCAGUUCGGAAUGGAACUCUUGA